rnacentral:rRNA from 1 species
GGCGAACGCUGGCGGCGUGCUUAACACAUGCAAGUCGAACGGAAAGGCCCUGCUUUUGUGGGGUGCUCGAGUGGCGAACGGGUGAGUAACACGUGAGUAACCUGCCCUUGACUUUGGGAUAACUUCAGGAAACUGGGGCUAAUACCGGAUAGGAGCUCCUGCUGCAUGGUGGGGGUUGGAAAGUUUCGGCGGUUGGGGAUGGACUCGCGGCUUAUCCGCUUGUUGGUGGGGUAGUGGCUUACCAAGGCUUUGACGGGUAGCCGGCCUGAGAGGGUGACCGGCCACAUUGGGACUAAGAUACGGCCCAGACUCCUACGGGCGGCAGCAGUGGGGAAUAUUGUACAAUGGGCGGAAGCCUGAUGCAGCAACGCCGCGUGCGGGAUGACGGCCUUCGGGUUGUAAACCGCUUUCGCCUGUGACGAAGCGUGAGUGACGGUAAUGGGUAAAGAAGCACCGGCUAACUACGUG